UCUAUUCUGACUCUUAUACGCUAAUUUUCAAAUUGAGAUAUACAAUGUUAGAAACUUGAAAAACGAGUAAGUAUGUAAGGCAUAAGAUAAUGUUACCUGGGUAAUGGGGGUGUAUAUGAAAUUUUGUAUGGAUAGAAAGACGAGUGGUAAUUAUGCAGGUUAAGUUUGUUACAGGAGAGUACGAAGUCAGUCAAAAAUAUGAAUAAGUGUGGGUAAGUGAAUUUUUA
rnacentral:lncRNA from 1 species